UACGGGGGGAGCAAGCGUUGUUCGGAUUUACUGGGCGUAAAGGGCGCGUAGGCGGCCAGCACACGUCGGUUGUGAAAUCUCCGGGCUUAACUCAGAAAGGUCAACCGAUACUGUGCGGCUAGAGUGCGGAAGGGGCAACUGGAAUUCUCGGUGUAGCGGUGAAAUGCGUAGAUAUCGUGAGGAACACCAGAGGCGAAGGCGACUACCUGGACAAUUGCUGACACUCAGGCACGAAAGCAUGGGGAGCAAAAGGG
rnacentral:rRNA from 1 species